rnacentral:rRNA from 1 species
GACGAACCGUGCGAACGUUGUUCGGAAUCACUGGGCUUAAAGGGCGCGUAGGCGGGCCGCCAGGCCCGCGGUGAAAUCCCCCGGCUCAACCGGGGAAGUGCCGCGGGGACCGGCGGUCUGGAGUGAGAUAGGGGCGUGCGGAACUGUGGGUGGAGCGGUGAAAUGCGUUGAUAUCCACAGGAACUCCGGUGGCGAAGGCGGCACGCUGGAUCUCUACUGACGCUGAGGCGCGAAAGCCAGGGGAGCGAAC